rnacentral:rRNA from 1 species
AUACGGAGGAUGCGAGCGUUAUCCGGAUUUAUUGGGUUUAAAGGGAGCGUAGGUGGGAUAUUAAGUCAGCUGUGAAAGUUUGGGGCUCAACCUUAAAAUUGCAGUUGAUACUGGUUUCCUUGAGUACGGUAUAGGUGGGCGGAAUUCGUGGUGUAGCGGUGAAAUGCUUAGAUAUCACGAAGAACUCCGAUUGCGAAGGCAGCCUGCUGGACUGUAACUGACGCUGAUGCUCGAAAGUGUGGGCAUCAAACAGGAUUAGAUACCCUGGUAGUCCACACAGUAAACGAUGAAUACUCGCUGUUUGCGAUACACUGUAAGCGGCCAAGCGAAAGCGUUAAGUAUUCCACCUGGGGAGUACGCCGGCAACGGUGAAACUCAAAUGAAUUGACGGGG